rnacentral:tRNA from 1 species
CAGACAGAAGCCCGCUGGAUUGGGUGUUUAACUGUUAAUUAAUUUUUGUGGGAUCGAGGCCCGCCUGUCUAG